rnacentral:rRNA from 1 species
UGAGGGAUAUUGCACAAUGGGCGCAAGCCUGAUGCAGCGACGCCGCGUGAGUGAUGAAGGCCUUCGGGUCGUAAAACUCUUUUGCCGAUGACGAGGAAGGACGGUAGUCGGCGAAUAAGCCUCGGCUAACUCUGUGCCAGCAGCCGCGGUAAGACAGAGGGGGCAAGCGUUGUCCGGAGUUACUGGGCGAAAAGGGCGCGCAGGCGGGGGGCUGCGCCGGGGCGGAAAGCGCCCCGCUGAACGGGGCGG